rnacentral:rRNA from 1 species
GACGAACGCUGGCGGCGUGCUUAACACAUGCAAGUCGAACGGAAAGGCCCUGCUUUUGUGGGGUGCUCGAGUGGCGAACGGGUGAGUAACACGUGAGUAACCUGCCCUUGACUUUGGGAUAACUUCAGGAAACUGGGACUAAUACCUGCUAGGAGCUCCUGCUGCAUGGUGGGGGUUGGAAAGUUUCGGCGGUUGGGGAUGGACUCGCGGCUUAUCAGCUUGUUGGUGGGGUAGUGGCUUACCCAGGCUUUGACGGGUAGCCGGCCUGAGAGGGUGACCGGCCACAUUGGGACUGAGAUACGGCCCAGACUCCUACGGGAGGCAGCAGUGGGGAAUAUUGCACAAUGGGCGGAAGCCUGAUGCAGCAACGCCGCGUGCGGGAUGACGGCCUUCGGGUUGUAAACCGCUUUAGCCUGUGACGAAGCGUGAGUGACGGUAAUGGGUAAAGAAGCACCGGCUAACUACGUG